rnacentral:rRNA from 1 species
UACGGGGGGGGCAAGCGUUGUUCGGAAUUACUGGGCGUAAAGGGCUGGUAGGCGGCCAACUAAGUCCGACGUGAAAUCCCCGGGCUCAACCUGGGAACUGCUUCCGAGACUGUGCGACUAGAGAUCGGUAGAGGGCGGUGGAAUUUCCGGUGUAGCGGUGAAAUGCGUAGAUAUCGGAAGGAACACCAAUGGCGAAGGCAGCCGCCUGGGCCUGAUCUGACACUGAGACACGAAAGCGUGGGGAUCAAACAGG